GUGGAAUUUCUGCUGGAAGAGUUUGCCGCAACAUUCACGUCCCGGGCAGAAUUGUUUGCAUCUCGGUAGAGGAAACAUGCAAACAUCUGAGCUUUAACCAGAUCUGAGGAAGCGGUUCUUCGAGAAAAGAGCUGUCGAGGGCCUCAGAACCGCCAGAUGUUGGAUGCCAAUGCGCAGCAUGUACGGGGAGCUCGCUUUGCGUCUGUUCAGCA